rnacentral:misc_RNA from 1 species
AACGCACGAGACCUGCGGACCUGCGGAAGGAUCAUUAUCGAGUUUACAACUCCCAAACCAUUGUGAAUCUUACCUUUUCGUUGCUUCGGCGGGAUCGCCCCGGGCGCUUCGGUGCCCCGGAUUCAGGCGCCCGCCGGGGGACCUAAACUCUUGUAUUAUAGUGGAUUUCUGAGUGGAUUACACAAAUAAUCAAAACUUUCAACAACGGAUCUCU